rnacentral:rRNA from 1 species
UACAGAGGGGGCAAGCGUUGUUCGGAAUUACUGGGCGUAAAGGGCGCGUAGGCGGCCUGCUAAGUCGAACGUGAAAUCCCCGGGCUCAACCCGGGAACUGCGUCCGAUACUGGCAGGCUUGAAUCCGGGAGAGGGAUGCGGAAUUCCAGGUGUAGCGGUGAAAUGCGUAGAUAUCUGGAGGAAUACCGGUGGCGAAGGCGGCAUCCUGGACCGGCAUUGACGCUGAGGAGCGAAAGCCAGGGGAGCAAACGGG